GCUGCUCGCCACCAACUUCAGCAAUGUUGCACUAUACGUUACACAGGUUGUCGGUUGGCAACAAGAUGGGAAUUGUAGUUUUUACAACCAGGCUCAUGCGGCGUUACGAAAACCCCGGUCGACACUUUGCAACUACAUUACCCAUGAACCUCCACGGUGGAUAAGCAACUCAUUCCGGGCGGAGUUGAAGGCGGAAGUCAGAGAAACAUAAACAAGGGUGUGAAACGGAAUUAUUACUUACAAGGAGAGUUUGGUCUCAUGAAAGUCGGCAGCACUGCUGCUGCACUCGGAGCCUCCACUGUCCUCAGUGGUGAGAGACGGCAGGCGGCUGUUGGGACUGGACAGCAGGAUGGUCAUCUCUGUCUCGUCGUGCGAGUAGCGCCCGGAGUCGCCUGUGGCGUGGCUGCCUUCGCUAUUGGACGAGCCCUCGGAGUCGCCCAGGUGUCCCAGCAGAGCCUGCAGCGUGGCAGGAUGCUCCGAAGCGUUGGACAGGUCUUCCUCGAAGGACAACACGGUGGAGUGCGGUUGGAAGGGGCUGAUGCCAUGGCUGGAGUUCUGCAGAUGCAGCAGGAAACCAGUUGAAUGUUGAACAGGACCUAAAGAAUUUAUGAUGAGAUUCGUUCCACCCUACAGGAGAAACAAGGGAUUGAAAGCUGCUGAGGCAGACGGGUUCAUUCCUUCCCUGUAGAGCUUAACAGCAGAAGAUUUCCUGCAAGAGGAGGAAACAGGAAAUGAACAUUCAACAGUCGACCAAGGAACACAGUGCGAUGGACCGGGGAUCACAGUGGCACAGAUUGGAAACAAAGAUGGCCACUAACCAUUCGCCGACCCUGAGAAUCCCCGAGGAUUGUGACCGGACGACUGAUCGGAGCGCAGCUCCACCAUUGGUGAGAACGGACCGUCGCCCAUGCUGUUGGAGGCCGAGACUUUGACCACGUAGAACUGGUGGGGCUUGAGGUGUUCUAGCAGAGCCAUGGUGAUGCUCCCUGAAGAGAGAGUUUCCAGAGUCACACUCACAAUUAAACAAAUGAUGAAGGCAUUAUAGAUAUAUUGUGCUCAUAUCUGUUCAUCUUUUCACCACAGCAGGGGGUCAAGCUCAAGUCUCUUGAAUAAAAGGUGAAUUCAAGCUGCAUUGCUGAAUAUGCUCCAUCUUGACAAGGGAGAUCUAACAAGUGUGUCAGGCUUGAUGUUCAUUAGCAGUAGGAAUGUAGCUACAUGCGGUAAGAGGUUUUUGUGUUACACAGGUCAGAAGGAAGGUAAAUCAAUGACUCUGUUUUAAUCACAUUAACCGUCAAUCUCCUCUUUUAUCAGUGAGACAAACAGAGAGCUCCAGUCAGGAACAAAGCAGCCAGCGCUCCCACCACCCAGCCAAAUGAGUUACUGAUUUCCAAUGGCUCCUUUGUUUUGGUCAUCAAGUUCCGUCUCCUUCCUCCCAGACGUACCUUCUCUCUGCAGCACCUGCCACUCUCCGGCAAUCCAGGCGUUCCUGGAGGCGUACAGGAUGGUGUAAUGUGUGACCGCCAGGUUGGCCUCAUCUGGAGGCUUCCACGACACCAGAGCCGUGUCCUGCUCGAUCAGAGUCACUUUCACGUUGGACGGGGGCAGCGUUGGAGCUGGACGACAGACAGGUCACAUUUACACUUUCAGAAAACAGUCCUGGAGAAAUUACUUUAUAUUCCUCACUCACCUUCAGGAAAGGUGCUCUGAUAGGCCACGGGACUCCAGGGGCUCGACAGCUGAUUGAUAUGAAGACGAAUGGCAAACUCAUAUUUGGUGUUGGGCUCUAGAUCCUGAACCAGGAUGCUCUGCUUGUUCCUGUACAUUAGAAAUACAUUACAACUGUUAAUGAUUCACAGAGACAAUUCUGAUGCACAGAAGAUAAGACACCGCUUCUCCAUGUCUACAUCUGAGGUCUGUUGAUCCAUGGCAUCUUUAUAAAACCUGUGUGCUGAAAUGACCUUUUACAUAUUUGGCUGCUGAUUUGAGCAGGUGCAGGAUGAUGUUGCGACGAUGGAAGUUCAAGAUGUGAACACAGGAAUUUUGCUUUACAGGAAGGAUGGAUCAAACUUGGUGAGAUAAACAACCUCUUGCAGGAAUUACAACUCACAGCUAGCUUUUUGAAGCGAAUCUCCAUAUUAUAACAAAGCUCAAUAUGAAACUACAGGUGUUGUCCAAUAGGUGGCGACAUAGAUCUUUGUUUACAGACGUCAGGAGCGUCUCAGCAUCAUCUGCUGCUGAAGCGUCAUUUGACACAAAUUAAGCGAAGCGGAACUAAUCAAUAUUUUCCGACGAUCACAAGACGAGGAAACAGCCAAUGAGGACAGCAGCGUGUAGAACGUAGACCACAAGGGAGGCGUUCUGCAGGCCGACCGGAUUGCAGCGGACGGUGUAGUUCACCGCGUGACUGGAGGUGAAGGCUGGCCGACCCCAGUACAGGAACACAGAAGUGGAGCUGUUUGUCUUGGCGUACACAUUGUGUGGCGGUGGUGGAGGAGGAACCAGCCGAUCUCGAACAGCUGAGGAACAUCAGGAGAUUAGUUUGUGAGGUUACACUACACUAUUUAAGCCAAAAUGCAGAUCCUGUUGGCCUCAGAGGUUUUGUUCUGCCCUGUGAGAGGCCCCCCAGGCCGGAGCAAGUCAGGCCUGAACAGGGGCCGUAAAUGUCAACUCCCACAUGGACCCACACCCCAGUAUCCAUCAUCCUGGGCUCCAACCCCUCUCCUCUUCUGCUCACGCUCACGGAAAAGAGUCUCAUACAGAGUACAGUCAAUGAAUCUCAUGCAUGAGGUCAAUGAGGAGGAUGAUCAACAUAGACUAAAGAUGGAAGGAGGCUGACUUCCGUGGCAAACUCUGCUUCCAUUUACUCCAAGACCUCCGUCUGCAUCCUCAGGUGCACAGCGUUCCCUCUCACACUCCAUCAAUGUCAACAGACGGCCUUUCUUCGCCGACCACGGUGGGUGAGAUUGUGUCACUUCAUCUGAAUCAAGUGCAGUAAAUCAUUGACAGAUGCUCUCUGUUCUAAAUGAUCUUGACCUACUCAAAACAAAUCCAGCAGGUGCUCAUUUUACCUUUUUAAAUAAUGCACAGCUAAGCAUUAUAAAGUCAGUGAAAGCACAAUGAGAGUCUGUAUGAGACUGAAGCUAGAGAAAUUGUUUGGAUGUGACUUGUUAGAAGAAUGAGUUCCCAGAGAGGCUGAAAGACUGAGGGCCCUUGAGAGUUUCUGAAUAGGUUUGCCAGCAUGCUGAUAUUUCUCAGCCUAAAUUAGGGCCCCUGAUUCCUGGAGAUCUGCACCUUGGCGGUCCACAGAGGAAGAUUAUUUGUUAAUAUUCUGACUUUAUAUCUGUGUGGUGACACCAUUUCUGUAGUCUAGGGCAGUGAUUAUUAACCAUAGGGCCGAGGCACAUGGUUGGACAGUGAGCGCCUUCUAAAGAGCCGCUAAAAGUUUUUUGUUUAACUCCUCUGGGCCAUGAGACGCUCAGUUUUAAUAUAUUUGCCAGUAGAGUGUCAUUGAAAUGACUUGACAGCUGCAAAUUUGUGACUAUUGAUGAUGGAGAAGUUCUUGAAAAUAAAAAAUGAUAAAGACUGUAAUAACUGUUCAUGAAAGCACCUGUUGAAGCAGUUUUUAAAAUUUAUUAGAAAAUACUUUCAUGUGAUGGCCUUUAUCAGUCCCACAGCGGGGAAAGUUUAUUUCGAAAAUAAAACAUUUUUAUUUAAAUAUAAUUUUAUUAUAUAUAUUUUAUACAGAAUUGUAUUUUUUUUUUCUCAACAGUUGCAUCAAGUGUAUUUUUCUUUUGUAAAUUUGAUGAAUAUGACUUGUACCUGGUUCUGAUGCUGGUUGGACUUUUCGAUGACAAAUAAAUAUCUUUGCGAUCAUCACAUGGUUUAAUGUCAUUUCACAAGGUUUUGCUUUGUUUAUGUGUAAGUAGAUUAAAUAUGGUUGUUGAACACAAUGAAACUAAGGGUAAUGAAUCUAACUUGAAUGGGCCCUGGGCCUAUUUGUUCAGGAAAAAAACAAUCAAAAUGGUUAAGAACACCUGGUCUUGGGCAGAGCUUCCUCAUGUAAACUCACACCUAAACAGCACCUCACUCACCUUCUGCUUUCAUGUAGUGCACAGAGUAUGCGAUGACUUUAUCCGAGUUGAAAAGUGGUCGCUCCCAAGCCAGGAGGAUGGCGGAGCUCGACACCGUGUCCGCUCUGAUGUUCCUCGGAGCGCUCGGACGGUCUUCUGACAUCACCACGAUGAGCCGCGCCAUGGCCAGGACGGACCCCUGCUCAUUCUCUGCCUGGCACUGAUAGAUGGCAUCGUCUUCCGGAAUGAUCUGGUUGAUAACCAGUUUGCUGUGGGACACAGAAAUAAACAGCCAAGUGAUCUGAGGGCUUGGAAACCCAUCAGCUUCACACACAAAUCUGGCUGUCCCUGCGCGGGGACGAGUCAGGCUCUCUGGCCACUCUACCAAGGAGGGAGGUGCUGUGGGAGAGGGAAGGUCAGCUCACUACAUUCACUCUGCUCUGACCCAAUAAACACAGCCGUAUUACCAAGUACGGUGACGUUUGCCGAGGCCACGGUGUAGUUCCUUGUUCCAGGAGUCGUGGCUCGACACAUGUAGACUCCUCCGUGCUGCGGCUUGAUGUCAGAGAUAAUGAGGUUGCCAUUUCCCAACACUUUGGUGUUGUAAACGUCGAUAGACUUGCUGUCGGCUCGGCUCCAGGAGAUGAUGGGCCGGGGAUGUCCGGUGGCCAAGCACUCUAACACAGCACUCUGGUGCAAGGACACUGAAAUAUUCUGAGGCCCGGCGAUGAUUUGAGGCUUUUGAGGAGGGCGGGGGCUCAGACCUGCCACAGGAAAGGUAAGUGUAACGUGUUAGACUUUAGGGCACAUUCAAGUUUUAAAAUCACAGAAAUAUAAUCUGAUUUGCUUCCAAGAUGUUGAUCAGAAAUAUGUAAUUCUCUAUUCAUAAAUACCAGAUGUUUUAGAUAACUUUGAUCAGCCAACUGUUCAGCCAUGCUUUGUUUCUGUAUAAAAUGAUUUGUUUCCAUCGUUGAAGCGCAGUGUUGAAAGUGAAUGAAAGACGAAUACGAGCAGUUGAAUUAAGUCUUAACAAUUACAACUCCAUCUCCUACCAGUCAGAAAACAAUGCAUUUGCACUAAGAGAUUUCAAGUGAUUUCAGGGACACACAAACCUGCAGUGACAGUGAGGGUCGCCUCUGCGCUUCUACGGCGACUGGCGAUGUUGGUGGCGAUACAGCGGUAAUUACCAGCAUCCGCACGCUUCACGCCGUGAAUCUGGAGAACACCACUGGGCAGGACUGUGAUUCUGAAGGACAAGAUCGGGGUGAAUUAUUUCGACUGAUACUGGCUGAAAGUGGUGAAAGACUCAAGGCUCUCUGUUGAGUAGGUGAAAGAUAAAUACCCAGGAAUAAGACUGAAAACAAGAGCAUGCAUACCUGUCAGUGGCCAGGGGUAACGUGACCCGAUUGAACUCCCAAGUGAUAAUAGGGGGAGGGUGUGCACUGAUUUUGCAAGAAAAUCUGGCAACUGAGCCUUCAGUUACCACCAUGGACAUUGGCUGGAUUGCAAAUGAGUUGAUACCUGUUGUGAAACAAAGCAAUAAGAAAAUACUUUCAUGUUAAAGGAGCAGUUCAACAGCAUCGACAGGAAAAAAGCCAACUUCUUAUUUCAAUUUGACCUGUUUUUUUUUUUAAAUCAACAAGAAAAAACGGUGUACUUAUAGGCUUAAAAUACAAUAACAAGCCUGUAGACAGAUAUGUGCUAGUGGGUCAGAGAUUUAACUCCAAGUUACCACCAGUGUGACCAGAAACCACCACUACAACAGUAGCAUCUCUAUUGCAUAAUCUGAACUCAACAGACCUCAUGUGCAGGUGAGCGCGCAUGUGUGUGUAAAACUAGAAAUUGCAACACAACUGAACAAAGUUUUGCUUCUUCAAUACAAGACAGGGUUGUUUAUGUGACACAUUAUUAACACACUGUCAAAACCAAAUGAAUUACAAGCGCACCGAAAUGAAUUCAAGGUAGCUCAAAGUUAUUAUCACCCCAUAAGGGGAAAACAUCUGAGUCAGAAGUUUCAAGAAGAACAUGCUGGAUCAUAGAGUCACAGUCACAAUCACUGCCGAAAGAAAAACCUCUCAAUUUAUUAUUCAUUUUUGCUCACCAGCAAUAACUAACUAGUUAUCUUAACAGCGCUGGUCGCUUCAGGCUGCCAUUAAAGCACAGGUAUCCCUUGCUUUAUUUUUUAUGAGUAACUGUAUUGU